AUCCGGAUGAAGAGUCCUAAAUAGGACGAAAUGCACGUUAUCUUGCAU
rnacentral:hammerhead_ribozyme from 1 species